rnacentral:rRNA from 1 species
UGGGGAAUAUUGCACAAUGGGCGAAAGCCUGAUGCAGCAACGCCGCGUGAGUGAUGAAGGUCUUCGGAUUGUAAAGCUCUGUCUUUUGGGACGAUAAUGACGGUACCAAAGGAGGAAGCCACGGCUAACUACGUGCCAGCAGCCGCGGUAAUACGUAGGUGGCGAGCGUUGUCCGGAUUUACUGGGCGUAAAGGGUGCGUAGGCGGAUGUUUAAGUGAGAUGUGAAAUACCCGGGCUUAACUUGGGUGCUGCAUUUCAAACUGGAUAUCUAGAGUGCAGGAGAGGAGAAUGGAAUUCCUAGUGUAGCGGUGAAAUGCGUAGAGAUUAGGAAGACACCAGUGGCGAAGGCGAUUCUCUGGACUGUAACUGACGCUGAGGCACGAAAGCGUGGGUAGCAAACAGGAUUAGAUACCCUGGUAGUCCACGCCGUAAACGAUGAGUACUAGGUGUAGGAGGUNUCGACCCCUUCUGUGCCGCAGUAAACAC